GCCAGGCAAACAGAACAGCAAGUGCAUAUUCCUGAGUGAGAAAGAAGCGGCCAUGCUUAAGGAGAGAAGGUGGCCACAUGGCAGAGUGCAAGACAGCAUGAAAUAGAUGAGCUCACCAAAAGAUCGUCAGGGACCAGACCAGCAUGUGCCUGGGCUUGGAGACAGGGAGGCAUGAAAAAAUUGGAGGCUACUUCGGCAACCUUCCUCAUGUGAUCUGGACCACGAUGGUGGAAGUAGAAACGGGACUGAGGCUGGAAGGUGUGGACACAUGCUCCUUCCCAGGAAUCCCAACAAGUCUUGUUCCUGUUCACCACCCACCUCUACGCUCUUCCAGGAGCCACUUCCUGGUACCAGCCCGGCCUAGCCCCACCCCCACCACCGAAGUACAUUUC
rnacentral:lncRNA from 1 species